GCAUGGAUUUAGAUUUCAUGGGAGUAGGCCCACACCCUUGGUCGUAUAUAGUGUCCCAUGCCAGAGCAAACUGAGGCCCUGAACCAUUGCCUGGACUCUCUGUGUAGGCUGCUGGCACUGAAGUGGGUUGCACAUUG
ensembl:snoRNA